CCUCACCUGACUGGCCAGCCAGAGCUUGGGCUUCAGUGCUGAGACUCUGCAGCUUCAGUGGCCAGCGAGGACAGACGGUGGAACCCUGAAGAAGAGACGACGCACCGGGAUGGGAGGAGAGAGGGCACGUGGCUUCGACUGUUGGUGGGCCUCAAGAUGGCCAUGUUGCUGUUCAAAGGAAGGAAGGACCCGGGGACUUCGCAGGGCAUCAUCCCUGGCAGGCAGAAAGAGGUCCCAGUUCCAAAGUGAGAGAAUCUAGAACAAGGUCGCAGAGCAUGGCAGAUGCAAAAUAUCCCAUCGAAGAGCCCCACGUGCCCUGGGGCCUGCGGCUCUGCUCUGGGAGUGCUCUGCCCCCCUCAGUGGCAGACACUGUAACCCUCCAAGACUAGAGAAGAGGCUGAGCUCAUUUACUGGGUGUUCCGGACAUGCCCUACCUGAGUGUGUGCGGAGGUGGCCGCAGCUAGAAGCAGUGCUGGGAGAGACCUCCCCUUCCCGAGACGACCCCGCGUGGCCUGGGCCCGGCCGCCCGCCGGACUCACCCGUGUGGCUGCGCUUGUGCACCAUGAGCACGUUGGGUCCAAUGCAGACCAUGCCG